rnacentral:rRNA from 1 species
AUUGAACGCUGGCGGAAUGCUUUACACAUGCAAGUCGAACGGCAGCACGGGGGCAACCCUGGUGGCGAGUGGCGAACGGGUGAGUAAUACAUCGGAACGUGCCCGGCCGUGGGGGAUAACGUAGCGAAAGUUACGCUAAUACCGCAUACGAUCUUAGGUUGAAAGCGGGGGACCUUUGGGCCUCGCCCGAUCUGAUGGCCCGAUGUCAGAUUAGCUAGUUGGUGAGGUAAAGGCCUACCAAGCCGACGAUCUGUAGCUGGUCUGAGAGGACGACCAGCCACACUGGGACUGAGACACGGCCCAGACUCCUACGGGAGGCAGCAGUAGGGAAUUUUGGACAAUGGGCGCAAGCCUGAUCCAGCCAUUCCGCGUGCGGGACGAAGGCCUUCGGAUUGUAAAAUGCUUUUAUAUGGAACGAAAAGGCUCUGGCUAAUACCUGGAGCUCGUGACGGUACCGUAAGAAUAAGCACCGGCUAACUACGUG